AAAACUUUCAACAACGGAUCUCUUGGUUCUGGCAUCGAUGAAGAACGCAGCGAAAUGCGAUAAGUAAUGUGAAUUGCAGAAUUCAGUGAAUCAUCGAAUCUUUGAACGCACAUUGCGCCCUCUGGUAU
rnacentral:rRNA from 1 species